CCCUUAGAUGUCCUGGGCCGCACGCGUGCUACACUGACACUUACACCGAGUUUUUCCGGCCCCGAGAGGUGGCUGGUAAUCAGUAAUAGGUGUCGUGAUGGGGAUAGAUCUUUGGAAUUAUUGAUCUUGAACGAGGAGUGCCUAGUAAUCGUAGGUCAUCAGCCUGCGAUGAUUACGUCCCUGCCCUUUGUACACACCGCCCGUCGCUCCUACCGAUUUCGAGUGGUCCGGUGAACCUUUCGGACAGAGAGAGUCUCGUACAAUCUCUGAAAGUCAAGUAAACCACAUCACUUAGAGGAAGGAGAAGUCGUAACA
rnacentral:rRNA from 1 species